UACGUAGGGUGCGAGCGUUUGUCCGGAAUUAUUGGGCGUAAAGAGCUUGUAGGCGGUUUGUCGCGUCUGCUGUGAAAUCUCAAGGCUCAACCCUUGAGCUUGCAGUGGGUACGGGCAGACUAGAGUGUGGUAGGGGAGAUUGGAAUUCCUGGUGUAGCGGUGGAAUGCGCAGAUAUCAGGAGGAACACCGAUGGCGAAGGCAGAUCUCUGGGCCGUUACUGACGCUGAGGAGCGAAAGCGUGGGGGAGCGAACAGG
rnacentral:rRNA from 1 species